rnacentral:lncRNA from 1 species
GAAAGUAUUUGCUCUGACUGCAUCGAUGGCCAAUAACAGAAGCAGUUCCCUAACCUUUUAACUGAAAUAAACACCAAAAUACAAAACCAAGUUUCUAAAGUGAGAUUAAAACCUUGCACCAACAUAUCAUAUUUCAUUAUGCACAUAACAAAACCAUUAUCCAACUAGUAGUUAACUUCUCAUAACUUGAAUUCAUUAAAAUGCAUAGGUUACAGAACAUCAUUGGCCUACAUAAUCCAAAUUCACCAGCUACACUGAUGCAUUUCAACAGAGUUGUUAAGCAAUUCCUAUGCUUCCCAACCAAAUCAAGGAAAAGGUGCAUGGGAGAAACAGAUAAUAUCAAAAUAACAGAUUGUACCAGCAAAUCCUUAUAAAUUUCCCAGAUAACAGCAAGCCGCAAUGACAAUAAUCUUUAACAAUUCAUUUUUGGUCAGCUAUGCAUUUAACAGCUUACAAAAAUUUUAACAAAUGAUACUAUUUAAAAAAAAAAGCCAAAACAACAGACUUAAAACAUAAAACAAUUCAAUCUACCAAACACCAGUCAUUGUGUGUCUGAAGCACAAGUAAUUUUUUCAACUAUUGGACAUGAUCAAUCACAAAUUUUCAUUAGAACUGCUUUCAGCAUUAGACCAUCUCCUAAAUGCGCAAGGUACCAAAUUCCUACCAGCAAAAAGCCCCAACUUCACCCGGAAAAACGCCAGU